rnacentral:tRNA from 1 species
GGGCCCGUGGCGUAGCAUGGAUAACGCGCCGGCCUUCUAAGCCGGAGAUCCCGGGUUCAAAUCCCGGCGGGCCCGCCA